AGAGAAAAAUAAGGAUGCAGAUAUCUGGAAUGACCAGUAACUAAAAUGCUCAUCACUAUCCCGCUGGUCCAGAGUCCUAUACUCUCAUACUUGUUGGUGUGUUCUCAUCAAUCUCUUUGAUGUAUUCUAAAGACUCUUGCAAAGAAAAUUGGAGCAAGUUUGUUUGGAAAAGUGACUUUCUUGAUUUGCUUUCCUUACUUCCUCAGUCACUUUGUAGGAAGCAGGAGAAAUCACUCCAAACAUCUAAAAUGACCAGCUACUUGCCAAGAGUGACAUUGCCUAAGCAGGUGUGAUUGGAAAGUGAUACUUGGCUCUGGUUUAAAGAUAGAUGGGGUUGGAUGGUGAACUGCAAGCUGAGGGGUAAGCCUGAAAAUAAAAUACUUUCUUAUCUCAGUUAAAAUAAUGGAUAGCUAUAUUACAUAAGGAAUUUUCAGAGUGGUCGGAAGGUGAGCAGCAAACUCUGGGUUGAGCUUGGUCAUAGAAUUUUAGACAAUCCUUUCCUAAUGUAUGUUUGAUAUCUCAGUGACAAAGGGUAGGCAGUUAGAUUGAAAAGGAAUGUCUAGAGUUUCCCCCUAUCCACACCACUACUCUGCUCUUGGAUAUGGCUCACCUUUUCUUCCUCUGGUUGGAUCUUCUCAGCAGACCUGAGUUUUUUUGGAAGUAGUGUAAAAUAUUCUAUCUUAUCCUGGAGAUCCUGGCUCUUAUCCUCAGGUUCACUCCCAACAUAUUCUUCCUAAUCAUGGAAGUUCAAAUAUAAGGGCUUACUUGAGACUUAAAAUAUUCAAACCUAUUGACCUGAAUCCCAGAAGGACUCUGCAUGUCUUUGGCCCUUCUCAAUAAUCUGUUUGACCUCUUCCACAAAGUCUUGUAAAGACAACUGUAGUGAAUUUGGUGAGAAAGCUCACUGGCUUCUCCUUUUUUAAAAUUUUUUUAUUUCCUCCCUCAUAAAAGAGGAGUAAAUUUUAGUUCGUUCUGCACUUAACUCUAUUCCCUUGCUUUAAAGGUUUCACCUCCUAACAAUCCACCAAGGUCUGCCAUCAGACAGUCAGGUAGAAGGUGAGAAAAUGUUGUGCCAAGAAAAGGUAGUAUGGGGCUCCUAGAACGUGGAUAAUUUCAAAGCAUUCCUUCCAUGGGAAAAAUAAUGAACUUUUCCAAAUCAAGGGUGAUGUGAAAGUGAAAGCUGCCUUUGGUAGAAUAGGCAGGAUUGCAACUGAGAAGGAAGCCAGAGGAACAGGCUUGCUCAUGGAACUAUAAACCUUAAAGAAACAAUGCAGGACGGAUGCCUCUUUGAUAAAAUUGUAGAGGAUAGGUCCUAAAAAUGUCUUUGCACGUCUGGGCCACUUUUCCACCACUGAGCUCCUCUUUGUUCUGCUCAACUCUUGGCAGUCUUUCCAUGCUCUUUUCAGGAAAUCUAGGCUUUCUUGUAAGUGAGCCCUGUUGCAAUGUAUAAUAUUGCACCUUACUGGAAUAGGGUCUCCUUCCCAUCCCUGGGCUCAUUCAACCUAUCCUUCUCAUCUUCAGGGAAGUCAAAUCUCCAAACAUCUUAAAUGACCAACUACUUGCCAAGAGUACUUUGACUAAGCUGGUGUGAUUGGAAAGUGACACUUGGCUCUGGUUAGAAAAUAGGUAAGGUUGGGUGUUGAACAGCAAGCUGAGGGGUAAGCUUGCUUUUGGAACUGAAGAUUUUAAUUUCCUACUAAAAGGUGAUUUCAAUGAAAAAGGAUGGGGAACUAGAUUACAAAAGGAAUGAGCUAGAUCCCAAGAUUUCUAUGCAAAUCUGUCCAACUUCAGCACCACUGUGCUCCUCUUGGGUCUGCUCACCUCUUUCGGCAGUCAUUCCAUCUUGGCUUCAGGAUAAUUAGGCUUACUUAUAGGUGAGCUCUGUUGCAAUAUAUAUAAUACUGCAUCUUAUUGGAAUAGUAACUAGUCUUCAUCCCCAGGCUCAUUCAACCUACGCUUUUCAUCUUCAGGGAAAUUAAACCUCUAAACAUCUAAAAUGAUCAGCCACUUGCCAAAAGUAACUUUGCCUAUAGGGGUGAGACUGGAAUGUGACACCUUGGCUCUGGUCAGAAAAUGAGGAGGAUUUGAUGGUGAACAUAAAAAUGAGGGGUAACCAUUGGAAAUUUAGACCUUAUUUCUUGCUUUAAAAUGAUACUUCAGUGAAAAAUUAUGGGGAGCUAAAUUACAGAAGGAAUGAGCUAGAUGUCCCUUGCAGAUCUGUCCAAAUUCAGCACCACUGUGAUCCUCUUCUGCCUAUUCACUUCUUUUAGCAGUUUUUCCAUUAUGGUCUCAGGAUACCUAGCCUUUCUUGUAGGUGAGUCCUGUUGCAAUGGACAAUAUUGCACUUUAUUGGAAUAGGGUCUCCUUCCCAUCCCUGGGCUCAUUCAACCUACUCUUCUCAUCUUCAGGGAAGUCAAACCUCCAAACAUCUAAAAUGACCAGCCACUUGCCAGGCAAAGUGGAAAGUGACACUUGUCUCUAGUCAGAAAAUAUAGUUGGAUUGGAACCAAGUGGUUUUGGAAUUUUCGACUUUCAUUUGCUCCUGGGAGGUAAUACUUCAGUUAAAAAAUAUGAGCAGCUAGAUUAAAGAAGGUGCAGAGCUGUUCCCAAACUAUAAAAAUAUCACACUCUUGGAUAUGCUCACCUUUUUUUCUUUUGGUUGGAUGAUCUCAGGAGAAAUGAACUUUCUUUGAAUUGAGUCCUCAUACAAUGGAGGGUAUUGCUUUUCAUCCUGGAAUUCAUCCUUAGGUUGACUCCCAAUAUCUUCCUCCUAACUCAUUACGGAAGUCCAGACAUCAGCACUUAUCCAAGACUUAAUAUGCUGAAACCUAUUGGCCUGAAUCCCAGUAGGACUCUGCUUGUCUUUAGCUCUUCCCAACAUUCUCUUUGACCUCUUCUACAUGUAAAGACAUGUACAUCUACUUGUAAAGACAACUGGAGUGAAUAUGGUGGGAAAGCUGACUUUUUAAAAAUUUUCUCCCUCAAAAAAUAGUGAAUGUUGGUUGCCUCCUGCCUUCACUACAGGCCCUUGUUUUAAUUUUUUCACCUCUAAAAUAAUCAACCAAGCAACCCAUAAGCCCAUGUCAGGUAGGAGGUUAGAAAAGAUUAAGUAUUUGGGGGCUUCUAUUAGAGUAAUAUUUUUAAGAAUAUUUUUUCCCUUGGGAAAAACUUGAGUUUUAAUAAUCAAUGGGGACAUAUAUCUUAAAGUUGCCUUUGGAAGAAUAGAUGGAAUUGCAAUGUGAAAAAUAAACCAAAGAGUAGGCUUGGUCAUGUGAAUCUAGGCCUUAAUUAAACACUGUGGGACUGGUGGCUCUUUGAUAAAAUACUAGAGACUAGAUCCCAGAAUGUCUGUGCAGAUCUGUCCCACUUCCCUGCACUCUGCUUCUCUUUGGUCUGCUCACCUCGUCUGGCAGCCUUUUCAUCCUCUUCUCAGGAUAACUAGGCUUUCUUGUAGGUGAACUCUAUUGAAAUAGAUAUUACAUCUUAUUUAAUAGGGUCUGGUUCUCAUCUCUUGACUCAUUUAAUCUAUUCUUUUCUUCUUCAUGGAAAUCAAAGCUCCUAACAUCUAAAAUGACCUGACACCUAAAUUGCUUAGAACUAUCCCCAAGAAAUAGGUGUCUCACUUUAUCCUGUGAUUUGUUGAUAUGUUCUUACCAGUCUCUUUGAGGUAUUAUUUAAGUUCAUGAAAAGAAAACUGGAUAUACUUUGUUUGGAGAAGUGACUGUCUUGACUUGUUUUCCUUGCUUCCUCACUCACCUAGUAGGUAUAUAGUCUCCUUCCUUGUUCUGCCACCUCUUUAUCCUUUAGUUUCAAGUACUAAAACAGUCAAUUAAGCAAAUAAGUAGCCAUCCUAAAACAGGGGGUGCUAAUUUUGUGGAUAAAGUCCAGGUAGAUUGAGAUUUUUCUGAAAUAUCUAUUUUUAAAAGUGUUUUUCUGGAACUAAGUGGAAAAAAGUGACCUUUUCCUGAUCAAGGAUGACAUAAAAGUGAAACCCAUCACUGGCUGAAUAGGUAGGAUUGCAAUUUGACCACUAUACUGGAGGAACAUCCUUGGUCAUGGUAUUAUAGUCCUUAACUACACACACUGGAGGAUUGCUGCCUUUUUGAAAAAGGAGUGUAGUCUAGAUCCCAGAAUGAUUGUUUAGAUGUUUCUGCUCACCUCUUCCGGUUGCCUUGGGGUCUUCUUCUCAGGAUAUCGAGGCUUUCUUUUAGGUAAGCCCUGUUGUAAUGAGAAUACUGCUUUUUAUUAAAAUAUGGACUUAUUCAAAUAUGACAUGUUGGUGUGUUUUCAUCAAACCACUUUCAGGUAUUCUAAAAACUUUUGCAAAAACUGGAUUGAGUUUGUUUGGAGAAGUGACUGCCUUGAUUCAUUUUCCCUAGUUCCUCACUCACUGGUAGGAAGCAAGGAAUGUAGUAUCCUGCCCUUCUCUGCCACCAAGUUUUUCUUUAGUUCUCAGUUCCCAACCAAUUAUAAGCACAAGCAGUUAGCCAGCUUCAAAGAUGAGGUGCUUGAUUUUGAGAAUAAAAUUCAGGAAGAUUGGGCUUCCUCUAUAAUCUCUAUUUUUAAAAGUUUUCACUCUAAGGGAAAAUAGUGACUUUGCCUCAGUGAGUGUGACUGGAAAGUGUAACAGGUUUGGUCAGAAAACAGGUAUGAAUGGAAGGUGAGCAGCAAGCUCAGGGUUGAGAUUUUUAGACACUCCUUUCCUAAUGUAUGUUUGAUAUCUCAGUGACAAAGAGUGGGCAGUUAGAUUGAAAAGGAAUGUCUAGAGUUUCCCCCCAUCCACACCACUACUCUGCUCUUGGAUAUGGCUCACCUUUUUUUCCUUUGGUUGGAUCUUCUCAGCAGACCUGAGCUUUUUUGGAAGUAGUGUAAAAUAUUGUAUCUUAUCCUGGAGAUCCUGGCUCUUAUCCUCAGGUUCACUCCCAACAUAUUCCUCCUAAUCAUGGAAGUUCAAAUAUAAGGGCUUACUUGAGACUUAAAAUAUUCAAACCUAUUGACCUGAAUCCCAGAAGGACUCUGCAUGUCUUUGACCCUUCUCAACAAUCUGUUUGACCUCUUCCACAAAGUCUUGUAAAAGUGGUGAAUUUGGUGGGAAAACUGCCUGUCUUGACUUUUGUUUUUUACGAGUUCCUAACUCUCAUGUAGGAAGAAUGAGUUUAGGUGGCUUUCUGGUAUUCAUUCCUAUCCCCUUCUCUUUUGGUUUUCACCUCUUAGCCAACCAAGCAAAUAAUUAGACAAUAUUAGAUAGGAUGUGAGGAACAGGUUGUUCAAAGAUUCAGUAGUUGAGGGCUCUUGAUAUUUUUAAAAGCAGUAUUUCCAUUGGGGGAAAAUUGCCUUUCUCUAAUCUAAUGGAAGUGGACAUUGCCUUUUUAGAAUAGGUAGGAUUGCAAUCUGACCACUAUGCUUGAGGAACAAGCUUGGUCAUGGGAUUGUAGUCUUUACAUACUGGGAGACGGAUGCUUGUUUGAAAAAGGAUUGGAGGCAGAUCCCAUAAACUGUUUAGAUCUUCCUACUUCCGUACCACUGUGGUAUUUUUAGAUCUUUUCAGGAUAACUAGCCUUUCUUGUAGGUGAGAGCCCUUGUGAAAUGCAUAAUAUUGCAUUUUAUUCAAGAGUGUCUGUUUCUUAUCCUCUGACUCAUUGAAUCUAUCCUUCUAUUAUCCAGGGAAAAACAAAGGUCCAAGUCUCUGGAAUUUACUGCUGUCUAAUAUGCUCACAACUCUCACUCUGAGUCAGUCUCCCGUAUUUUAAACUGUUACUUCCUGGUAUCUUAUCAUCAAUUUCUCUGACCUUUUCUACAAACUCUUGCAAAGAAAAUCAGAGUUUCAUUGGAGAAGUGAAUGUUUUGUCUUUUGUUUUCCUCACUUCCUCAUUGACUUUGUGGGACUGAGAGUCAGUAGCUUCCUGCCGCUGCGCGUGAAUGCCGACACCAGGCCACAACCGCACCUCCCAUAACAACUGGCAUCCCAUGCCCCAUGUGCCACAAACUCUGUGCCUCAGCUUUUGGACUUCAAAGCCACAUGAGGGUACAUAAAUAGAUGAUAAUGCACAAAGACAAUAGUCAUUCUCAGUAACCGAGAGACUACCACUAUUAGCUUCCUGCCCUUUUUCUCUUUUGUUUUCUAGGUGUUUAACUACCAACAAAACAACCAGUUAACCAACUUCAUAAGUUUUAAAUGUGCUCCCUAUGAGGAGAAAAACAAAACCUAUGCCUCAGAGAGUGUGCCAUCUAAAAUGCUCACACCUAUAUCCCUGAACCAUAAUCCCAUACUUUGUUUUGUAAUCUCAUCCUGGAGUCUCUGCUUCAUUCAGUCUGUUCUCCUACUCAUUAUGGAAUAAAAUUCCAGAUAUCAGGAAUUACUUGUCACUUAAAAUGUUCAUAGCUAUUGCCCAGAGGCACAUCAUCCUUUUAUAUCUUGGCCUGUUCUUAUUUAUCUCUUUGACUUCUUCUACAGACUCUUCCAAAAGAAAUGAGAAGUCUAGUCUGAAGACCACUUUGAGUUUCUUAUGUAUUACUUUCUCACAUAGUGGAAAUGAUGUUAAGUAGCCUCUUGUUUUCCACUCCCACCCAUUUUUCCUUUGGUUUUCAGCUAUCGAACAUCCAACCAACUGACCAGUUAGCCAAUCUCAAAGAGGUUUCUUAAAACACAUGCAGCCCAUAUACAGUUGGCAGGAGCUCUUAUUAAAUCUGUAAUUUUCAAGGCACUCUCUACAUGGAUAAAGUGACCUUUCCUACAAACUCUUUAAAGGAAAUUGAUGUGUUUAGUUUCAAAAGCAACUGUCUUGACUUUUAUUUUCCUCAUUCACCUAAUAGGAACUUGGACCUUCUCUCUCAGCCACUUCUCCUUUAGUGUCCAAUUCGAAAAGAACCAAUCAACCAACUAGUAGUUAGACAACCUCAAAGUGGUGGUGUGAAAAGGUUCUCCCUAAGUUUAAGUAGAUUGGAGUCCCUAUUAAAUCUAUGUCUCUCAAAGUAUUCUCUAUCUGGGGAAAGAAAUGAGCUUUGUCUCAGUAAGUUUGACAUGAAACGGAAACCUGACUUUGGUGGGAAGGAUAGGUAGGAUUGGAAACCUAGUAGUGAGUUUUGUCAUAGUAUUUUAAAUGGUACUUACUUACUGUGGAGUUAUAUCUUUGUUAAAAAGGAUGGGUGGCUAGAUUAUAAAGUGAUUAACAAGAGCUGUCCCCCAUUCCCUAUGCCCCCACCAUUGUGGUGCCCUUGGGUCUGCUCACCUUUCCUGGCUGCUGUUGGAUCUUCUUCUCAGGUGCAUGGAGUUUUCUUGUAGGCGAGUCCUGUUGUGAUGGAUAAGAUUGCAUCUUAUCCUUGAAGUCUCUGGUUCUUAUCCUCAGGCUCAUUCAAUCUGUCCUUCUACUCAUCAUUGAAGAACAAAGCCUAAGACAUUAGGAACUACCUCCCACCUAUAAUGCUCACAUUUAUUCGUCUGAGUCACAGUUCCACAUUUCAUCAUGUGAUGUCUUGGACUAUUCUCAACAAUCUCUUUGACCUUUUCAACAAACUCUGGCAAAGAAUAUUUGAGUGAGUUUUGUGGCAAUAAUGACUAUUCUUUUUUCUUAUUUCCUCACUCAUCUAAUAGGGAGAAAUGGUAUAUAGCCUACUGCCCCUGAUCUCCCACCUAUUUUCCCCUUGUUUUCCAUCUAUAAAACAUUUAGUCAACCAAACAUUUAGAAAAUCUCAAAGAGGUUUGAAGGUGAUGCCAAGGUCCAGGUGGCUUUUAGAGUUCUUAUUAAAUCUAUAUUUUUAAAUACACUCUAUACAUGGAGAAAGAAGUGAGCUUUGCCUCAAUGAGUGUGACAUGAAAAUGAAACCCCGUUUUUUUAGAAGGAUAGACAGGUUUUCAUGUUGGUCAGGAAGCCUAGAAGAAAGCAUGGUCAAAGGAUUUUAGGCUUUAGUUACUUACUGGGGCUCUCUGUAACAAUUGAUGGGUGGCUAAACUAUAGAAUGUGUGUUCAGAGUUGUUUCCCUUCCCCAUAAUUCUAAUGCUCUUAGGUCUGCUCACUUUUUCUGCCUGCUCUUGGAUCUUCUCAGCAGAACUGAGCUUUCUUAUAGGUGAGUCCUGUUGCAAUGGAUAAAAUUGCAUAUUUGCCUGGCAACUCUUUUAAUCUGUGCUUCUCCUGUUUGUCACUGAAGAACAAAGCCCCAGAUAUCAUGAAUUAUCUUCCCCCCUAAAAAGCUCAAACCUAUGACAGUCUGAGUCCCACACUUCAUCCUGUAAUGUCUUGACCUAUUCUCAUUAAUUUCAUUGACCUUUUUUACAAAUUCUUAUAAAGGGAAUUGGUGUGUUUGGUCCAAAAGUGAUUGUCUUGACUUUAUUUUUUCUCAAUUCCUAACUCACUUAGUAGGGAUAUGAAUAGGUAACCUCCUGCACUCCUCACCUACCUAUUUCUUCUUUAGUGUCUAUCUCUUAUACAAUCAAUCCAACAAACAAACAGUUUGCCAAUAUCAAAUAAGAGCUGGGGAAAGGUGGUGCUAAGGCUCAGGUAAAUUGGAGUUCCUAUUAAAUCUGAUUUUUCAAAGCACUCCAUACUUGGAAAAAGAAGUGAUUUCUGUCUCAGUGAGUGUGACAUGAAAGUGAAACCUGGCUUUGGUAGGAGGAUAAGGAGGGCUGGCUGCUGACCAACAAGUUCAGUAUUGACUGUGGUCAUCAGAUUUUGGCCAUUAAUUUUUUACUGGUGAGUGAUAACUGUGUGACAAAGUAUAGGUGGCUGGAUUACAAAAUGACUGUCCAAAACUGUCCUCUUUCUUUCCCACUCUGGUGCUUUUGUGACUGCUGUUGCAUCUUCUUAGGUGCCUGGAGCUUUCUUAUAGGUGAAUCACGUUGGGAUGGAUAAUUUUGCAUCUUAUCCUGGAGUCUCUGGUUCUCAUCCGCAGGCUCAUUCAACCUGUCCUCCUAAUCAUCAUUGAAGAACAAAAUCCCAGAUAUCUGGAAUUGCCUGUCAACUAAAAUAUUCAUACCUAAUGCCCUGCGCCACUGUCCCACAUUUUAUUUUGGCAUGUCUUAGUCUGUUGUCAUUAAUCUCUUUGACCUCUUCUACAAACUCCUGAAGAGAUCAUUUGAGUGAGUUUGGUUGGAACACCAACCAUCUUGACUCCCCCCCCCCCGAAAGAAAGUGGGUACUUAGCCUUCUGCCUGCCAAUCUCACCCAUUUUCCUUUUGAUUUCUAAUUAUAAAAUAUCCAACCAACCAGGUAGCUAUCCUCAAAAAGGAAGGGGAGAAAGGUGGUCCUAAGGUCCAAGUUGUUGGGGGCUCCUAUUAAAAAUAUUUUUUAAAGUGCUCCAUACUUAGAAAAAGUGACCUUUGUUUCAAUGAGUGUGACAUGAAAGUGACAUCUGGAUUUCAUAGUGGGAUAAGGAGGGCUGGUUGCUGACCAACACGCUCAGAAUUGACUAUGGUCAUCAGAUCUGGGGCAUUAGUUAUUUACUGGUGAGUGAUAACUGUGUGACAAAGGAUGAGUGGCUAGAUUACAGAGUGAUAACUGUGUGACAAAGGAUGAGUGGC